UGGGGAAUAUUGCACAAUGGGCGCAAGCCUGAUGCAGCCAUGCCGCGUGUAUGAAGAAGGCCUUCGGGUUGUAAAGUACUUUCAGUCGGGAGGAAGGUGGUAAGGUUAAUAACCUUAUCAAUUGACGUUACCGACAGAAGAAGCACCGGCUAACUCCGUGCCAGCAGCCGCGGUAAUACGGAGGGUGCAAGCGUUAAUCGGAAUUACUGGGCGUAAAGCGCACGCAGGCGGUUUGUUAAGUCAGAUGUGAAAUCCCCGGGCUCAACCUGGGAACUGCAUCUGAUACUGGCAAGCUUGAGUCUCGUAGAGGGGGGUAGAAUUCCAGGUGUAGCGGUGAAAUGCGUAGAGAUCUGGAGGACUACCGGUGGCGAAGGCGGCCCCCUGGACGAAGACUGACGCUCAGGUGCGAAAGCGUGGGGAGCAAACAGG
rnacentral:rRNA from 1 species